UCAGACGACGGCUGCGGCGUGCCUAAUACAUGCAAGUCGAGCGAACUGAUGGGAGCUUGCUCCCAGAAGUUAGCGGCGGACGGGUGAGUAACACGUGGGCAACCUGCCUGUAAGACUGGGAUAACUUCGGGAAACCGGAGCUAAUACCGGAUAAUCGUUUUCCUCACAUGGUUCAAACUUGAAAGAUGGCUUCGGCUAUCACUUACAGAUGGACCCGCGGCGCAUUAGCUAGUUGGUGAGGUAACGGCUCACCAAGGCGACGAUGCGUAGCCGACCUGAGAGGGUGAUCGGCCACACUGGGACUGAGACACGGCCCAGACUCCUACGGGAGGCAGCAGUAGGGAAUCUUCCGCAAUGGACGAAAGUCUGACGGAGCAACGCCGCGUGAGUGAUGAAGGUUUUCGGAUCGUAAAACUCUGUUGUUAGGGAAGAACAAGUACCGUUCGAAUAGGGCGGUACCUUGACGGUACCUAACCAGAAAGCCACGGCUAACUACGUGCCAGCAGCCGCGGUAAUACGUAGGUGGCAAGCGUUGUCCGGAAUUAUUGGGCGUAAAGCGCUCGCAGGCGGUUUUUUAAGUCUGAUGUGAAAGCCCCCGGCUCAACCGGGGAGGGUCAUUGGAAACUGGGAGACUUGAGUGCAGAAGAGGAGAGUGGAAUUCCACGUGUAGCGGUGAAAUGCGUAGAGAUGUGGAGGAACACCAGUGGCGAAGGCGACUCUCUGGUCUGUAACUGACGCUGAGGAGCGAAAGCGUGGGGAGCGAACAGGAUUAGAUACCCUGGUAGUCCACGCCGUAAACGAUGAGUGCUAAGUGUUAGG
rnacentral:rRNA from 1 species